AAACGUAGGGGGCGAGCGUUGUCCGGAAUUACUGGGCGUAAAGAGCGUGUAGGCGGGUGCUUAAGUCAGGUGUGAAAGACCGGGGCUCAACUCCGGGGUUGCACUUGAAACUGUGUAUCUUGAGGGCAGGAGAGGAAAGCGGAAUUCCUGGUGUAGCGGUGAAAUGCGUAGAUAUCAGGAGGAACACCGGUGGCGAAGGCGGCUUUCUGGACUGACCCUGACGCUGAGACGCGAAAGCGUGGGGAGCAAACAGGAUUAGAUACCCUGGUAGUCCACGCUGUAAACGAUGGGCACUAGGUGUAGGAGGUAUCGACCCCUUCUGUGCCGCAGCUAACGCAAUAAGUGCCCCGCCUGGGGAGUACGGUCGCAAGGCUGAA
rnacentral:rRNA from 1 species